rnacentral:rRNA from 1 species
AGUGAACGCUGGCGGUAGGCCUAACACAUGCAAGUCGAACGGCAGCACAGUAAGAGCUUGCUCUUACGGGUGGCGAGUGGCGGACGGGUGAGGAAUACAUCGGAAUCUACUUUUUCGUGGGGGAUAACGUAGGGAAACUUACGCUAAUACCGCAUACGACCUACGGGUGAAAGCAGGGGAUCUUCGGACCUUGCGCGAUUGAAUGAGCCGAUGUCGGAUUAGCUAGUUGGCGGGGUAAAGGCCCACCAAGGCGACGAUCCGUAGCUGGUCUGAGAGGAUGAUCAGGCACAAUGGGAAUGGAACAAGGGUCCAGCUCCUAAGGGGAGCAGCAAGUGGGAAUUAUUGGCAAAUGGCGGAAACCUUGACCCACCAUUCCGGGGUGGGUGAAGAAGGCUUCGGGUUUGUAAGGCCUUUUUGUUGGGAAAAAAAGCAAGAGGUUAAAUCCCCGGUUUUCUUACGGGACCCAAAAGAUAAGGCACGGCUUACUUCGUU